rnacentral:rRNA from 1 species
AUUGAACGCUGGCGGCAGGCCUAACACAUGCAAGUCGAACGAGUGGCGGACGGGUGAGUACUGUCUGGGAAUCUGCCUGAUAGAGGGGGAUAACUACUGGAAACGGUAGCUAAUACCGCAUACUAUCGGAUGUGCCCAGAUGGGAUUAGCUAGUAGGUGGGGUAAAGGCUCACCUAGGCGACGAUCCCUAGCUGGUCUGAGAGGAUGACCAGCCACAAUGGGACUGAGACACGGUCCAGACGCCGACGGGAGGCAGCAGUGGGGAAUAUUGCACAAUGGGCGCAAGCCUGAUGCAGCCAUGCCGCGUGUAUUAAGAAGGUCUUCGGGUUGUAAAGUACUUUCAGCGGGGAGGCGUGACCCGCAGAAGAAGCACCGGCUAACUCCGUGCCAGCAGCCGCGGUAAUUC